CCUGAGUAGCGGCGAGCGAAACGGGAAAAGCCCAAACCAGCAAGCUUGCUUGUUGGGGUUGUAGGACUCCAAUAUGGUAGUUCUUUCAGAUAGUCGAAUGACUUGGAAAAGUCAGUCAAAGAGGGUAAAAACCCCGUAGACGAAAUGUGGAAGACACCUAGGAGGAUCCUGAGUACGGCGGAACACGAGAAAUUCCGUCGGAAUCCGGGAGGACCAUCUCCCAAGGCUAAAUACUCCCUAGUGACCGAUAGUGAACCAGUACCGUGAGGGAAAGGUGAAAAGCACCCCGGAAGGGGAGUGAAAUAGAACCUGAAACCGUGUGCCUACAACAAGUCAAAGCCCGUUAAUGGGUGAUGGCGUGCCUUUUGUAGAAUGAACCGGCGAGUUACGAUUGCAUGCGAGGUUAAGUUGAAGAGACGGAGCCGCAGCGAAAGCGAGUCUGAAUAGGGCGUUUGAGUAUGUAGUCGUAGACCCGAAACCAUGUGAUCUACCCAUGUCCAGGUUGAAGGUGCGGUAAAACGCACUGGAGGACCGAACCCACGUACGUUGAAAAGUGCGGGGAUGAGGUGUGGGUAGCGGAGAAAUUCCAAACGAACUUGGAGAUAGCUGGUUCUCUCCGAAAUAGCUUUAGGGCUAGCCUCGGAAUUGAGAAUGAUGGAGGUAGAGCACUGUUUGGACUAGGGGCCCAUCUCGGGUUACCGAAUUCAGAUAAACUCCGAAUGCCAUUCAUUCAUAUCCGGGAGUCAGACUGUGAGUGAUAAGAUCCAUAGUCGAAAGGGAAACAGCCCAGACCACCAGCUAAGGUCCCAAAAUAUAUGUUAAGUGGAAAAGGAUGUGGGGUUGCACAGACAACUAGGAUGUUGGCUUAGAAGCAGCCACCAUUUAAAGAGUGCGUAAUAGCUCACUAGUCGAGUGACCCUGCGCCGAAAAUGUACCGGGGCUAAACAUAUUACCGAAGCUGUGGAGUACACCUUUAGGUGUAUUGGUAGGAGAGCGUUCUAAGGGCGUUGAAGGCAGAUCGUGAGGACUGCUGGAGCGCUUAGAAGUGAGAAUGCCGGUAUGAGUAGCGAAAGACAGGUGAGAAUCCUGUCCACCGAAUGACUAAGGUUUCCUGGGGAAGGCUCGUCCGCCCAGGGUUAGUCGGGACCUAAGCCGAGGCCGACAGGCGUAGGCGAUGGAUAACAGGUUGAUAUUCCUGUACCCGUUGUUUUUGUUUGAGCAAUGGAGGGACGCAGGAGGCUAAGGAAUGCAGACGAUCGGAAAUGUCUGUCCAAGCAGUAAGUCUGAAGAGGAGUCAAAUGCUUCUUUUCUUAAGGACAAGCUGUGAUGGGGAGGGAAAUAAUAGUACCGAAGUUCCUGAUGUCACACUGCCGAGAAAAGCUUCUAGUGAGAAAACAGCGGCCCGUACCGCAAACCGACACAGGUAGUCGAGGAGAGAAUCCUAAGGUGAGCGAGAGAACUCUCGUUAAGGAACUCGGCAAAAUGACCCCGUAACUUCGGGAGAAGGGGUGCUGAUCAUACGAUCAGCCGCAGUGAAUAGGCCCAAGCGACUGUUUAUCAAAAACACAGGUCUCUGCAAAAUCGUAAGAUGAAGUAUAGGGGCUGACGCCUGCCCGGUGCUGGAAGGUUAAGAGGAGUGCUUAGCGCAAGCGAAGGUACGAAUUGAAGCCCCAGUAAACGGCGGCCGUAACUAUAACGGUCCUAAGGUAGCGAAAUUCCUUGUCGGGUAAGUUCCGACCCGCACGAAAGGCGUAACGAUUUGGGCACUGUCUCAACGAGAGACUCGGUGAAAUUUUAGUACCUGUGAAGAUGCAGGUUACCCGCGACAGGACGGAAAGACCCCAUGGAGCUUUACUGUAGUUUGAUAUUGAGUGUCUGUACCGCAUGUACAGGAUAGGUAGGAGCCGUAGAAAUCGGAACGCUAGUUUCGAUGGAGGCGCUGGUGGGAUACUACCCCUGCGUUAUGGCCACUCUAACCCGCACCACUAAUCGUGGUGGGAGACAGUGUCAGAUGGGCAGUUUGACUGGGGCGGUCGCCUCCUAAAAGGUAACGGAGGCGCCCAAAGGUUCCCUCAGAAUGGUUGGAAAUCAUUCGAAGAGUGUAAAGGCAGAAGGGAGCUUGACUGCGAGACCAACAAGUCGAGCAGGGACGAAAGUCGGGCUUAGUGAUCCGGUGGUUCCGCAUGGAAGGGCCAUCGCUCAACGGAUAAAAGCUACCCUGGGGAUAACAGGCUUAUCUCCCCCAAGAGUCCACAUCGACGGGGAGGUUUGGCACCUCGAUGUCGGCUCGUCGCAUCCUGGGGCUGUAGUCGGUCCCAAGGGUUGGGCUGUUCGCCCAUUAAAGCGGCACGC
rnacentral:rRNA from 1 species